ACGGGAGGUAGCAGUGAGGAAUAUUGGACAAUGGUCGGAAGACUGAUCCAGCCAUGCCGCGUGAAGGAAUAAUGUCCGAUGGAUUGUAAACUUCUUUUGUACGGGAGCAACAAGGUGUAUGCAUACACCGAUGAGAGUACCGUACGAAUAAGCAUCGGCUAACUCCGUGCCAGCAGCCGCGGUAAUACGGAGGAGGCGAGCGUUAUCCGGAUUUAUUGGGUUUAAAGGGUGCGUAGGCGGAAUGACAAGUCCGCGGUGAAACGCAAGGGCUCAACCCUUGACCUGCCGUUGAAACUGCCAAUCUGGAAUACGGAUGCUGUGGGAGGAAUGUGUGGUGUAGCGGUGAAAUGCAUAGAUAUCACACAGAACACCGAUUGCGAAGGCAUCUCACAAAUCCGUCAUUGACGCUGAGGCACGAAAGCGUGGGGAUCAAACAGGAUUAGAUACCCUGGUA
rnacentral:rRNA from 1 species